rnacentral:misc_RNA from 1 species
CCUGAGUUGACAAACUCCCAACCCUGUGAACAUACCUAUCGUUGCCUCGGCGGGAGGCCCUCAGGGCUUGACGCCACCCCCUCGGGGAGGCCAGCCCGCCGGAGGACGUCCAAACUCUUAGCAUUAAUUGGAUCUUCUGAGUAGCUAUCAAAUAAGUCA